rnacentral:rRNA from 1 species
UACAGAGGUCUCAAGCGUUGUUCGGAUUCAUUGGGCGUAAAGGGUGUGUAGGUGGCGCCGUAAGUCGGGUGUGAAAUUCGCGAGCUUAACUCCGAAACUGCAUUCGAUACUGCCGUGCUUGAGGACUGGAGAGGAGACUGGAAUUUACGGUGUAGUGGUGGAAUGCGUAGAGAUCCGGAGGAACACCAGCGGCGAAGGCGGACAUCCUGGACUGGUCCUGACGCUCAGGAGCGAAAGCGAUGGGGA